rnacentral:rRNA from 1 species
GACAGAGGGUGCGAACGUUGUUCGGAAUUACUGGGCGUAAAGCGCAUGUAGGCGGCAGCGCAAGUCGGGCGUGAAAUCCCACGGCUCAACCGUGGAAGUGCACUCGAAACUGCGCAGCUAGAGUCCUGGAGAGGAAGGUGGAAUGCUUGGUGUAGAGGUGAAAUUCGUAGAUAUCAAGCGGAACACCGGUGGCGAAGGCGGCCUUCUGGACAGUGAUUGACGCUGAGAUGCGAAAGCGUGGGGAGCAAACAGG